UCUAAUUUCUAUUUAGAUUAUUUCAAUAUGUUAAUUUUAACAUGUCCAAUUAUCCUAACAAAAUAAUCACACGACAGCUGAUUCAAUUAUUAUGUAAUUAUUUACCGAUGUUCUGCGGUAAUUGACUGGUUGAUUCUUAGCGGCUUUAAGAUGAUGCAAUAAUUAAAUCAACUGUUUAAUUAUAUCGGUGACACGUCAAUCAAAUUUUUUGCAGGAGUUUUGAGAUCUAAUCUUUGCUUAUUUCUUUAAUGGAAAAAGUAGAAAUAAG
rnacentral:lncRNA from 1 species